rnacentral:rRNA from 1 species
UAGGGAAUUUUCGUCAAUGGGGGGAACCCUGAACGAGCAAUGCCGCGUGUGUGAAGAAGGUCUUCGGAUCGUAAAGCACUGUUGUAAGUGAAGAAUGCCAUAUAGAGGAAAUGCUAUGUGGGUGACGGUAGCUUACCAGAAAGCCACGGCUAACUACGUGCCAGCAGCCGCGGUAAUACGUAGGUGGCAAGCGUUAUCCGGAAUCAUUGGGCGUAAAGGGUGCGUAGGUGGCACGAUAAGUCUGAAGUAAAAGGCAACAGCUCAACUGUUGUAUGCUUUGGAAACUGUCGAGCUAGAGUGCAGAAGAGGGCGAUGGAAUUCCAUGUGUAGCGGUAAAAUGCGUAGAUAUAUGGAGGAACACCAGUGGCGAAGGCGGUCGCCUGGUCUGUAACUGACACUGAUGCACGAAAGCGUAGGGGAGCAAAUAGGAUUAGAUACC